GCCGAUACCCGAACUCUUUCCCCUCUUCUUCCCCGACUCCGAUCUCUCUCUGUUCUCUCUCUCUCGCGGACAAGCGACGGCGACGGGAGCAAGGCUCCAGCUCCGGUGAUCUUCCUCUACCGGCAUCAGCGGUCGUUGAGCUCAGAUUCGGGCGGCGCUAUUCCUCUCCUGAUCGCAGACACGAAGUUGCGUCUCCUCUAGCGGACUGCCGACCUUUCUUCCCCGAUUCGAUGCCACUGGGUCGAGUCUUGGCCAUCCGAUCGCCGGCGUGAAGAGACCAUUAGGGCCUUGAGGGUUAGGGCGUGGAUCCCUUCCUUGUUGUUGAUUGAGGGUCAGAGGAAUCCCUGGAACGAAGAGUCGAAUCGGGCGACACCUUCUGGAGACACUCGGUUGAGUGAGGACCUGUUCUGUGGAAUUCAAUUUGUGUGUUGUGGAUUGCUUUAUGAUCCAGCAACAUAUGGUUUCAACAGCAACUCGAUUAGAGCAGCGAGGUCCUUCUGCUGUGGUGUUGGAAGGGUGACCGUGAAGUGAUUUCUAGUAGCAUCCCUUGAUCCAGCAAUCCAUAGGGGCUGUGAAUUGAGGUUGAGGCCGUUGGGAGAUAUUCCAGUCGCUAGCCCCCUUUAUCGCGAGGAUUUCUUGUUGUCGGGAUAUGUUUUGCUUUUGCAUCUUAUAUACUUGUGUUGUGGGUUUUGUAUUGU